UUGGGCCACUGCUGGUGAAUUGGUGCUCAGGGUUAGACCUGGCAGAGGAUUAGUGACCUCGGAGAUAUCAAUAGGGACUGUAGAGCUGCAGAGAGGAAAACAAAGGGAAGGCAGGUCCAAAUCUUCUGCAAAACAAUACAUGGGUCUGCUGGUUCUACCCUUCUGUGGGACUUCUGGAGGGCAGAAUCCUGACUGCCCGAACAGCCGAAUGGUGCUGUCAAGACCUCUGCAUCUUGGUGCUGCACUUAGGGAGUCCUCGAGGUGAAGUGCAAAGUUUUUCAACAGUAACGUCAAGAAAUACGAUGGUGAUAUGGAUGUGAAAACAGGGCUGACAAAUAAAUCAAUUACACGGCAUCACCCAGAGACAUAGUUUGCCCAUCGAAGUUUCGGUACGUGAAUUAGAGUAACAUUUGACUGUGUGGACAGGAACAGUCGUGAUGUCUUUGAAAAAAUUAAACUUCAAUUAUUACAAUCUGCCAUUUUUGGACUGCAAGUAGUCUUGUGUCAUAUCCUCAGAAACAAAUUUGUUGCAGGACUAAAUAUGCAACCAAUAACACAAAUUCAACAUGAGACUUCACAAUCUGUGAAUCAGCAUUGCUGAAUGACAGUGAUGUGGACUGCUAUGCCACUGAACUCCAUAUGUAUCUGACGAUCACAAGACAUAAUCUCAUUAAAAGUAAUCCUUCCAGAAAUUGAAUGUGGGGUCCUGAAAGGUGAAAGUUGCACUGAAUCAAGGACACCUGCCAAGGAUUAAGACAAAAUGAUAACUGAGUUAGAAACAAACCAGUGCUCUAUUACAACUUUUAUAACUCCAACGUCCCAAAUUGGUCACAAAAUGAAAAUCCACAUUUAAGUUCAAGAUGUUGCAGCCAACUUAGUUAAACAAUAUCAUUAUCCUGACUAUUAUGAAGAUAUAUAUAUAUAUAUAUAUAUAAUUUUAAAUUGAGAUGAAUACCCCUCUUGUAUUCUCCUGGUCUGGCAUCUAACCUUUACCCUUAUAGUCAGUCUUAGACACUGGUCUGCAUAUGUAACAUUGA